rnacentral:rRNA from 1 species
CACGGCUGAGGAUCACGUGGGAACAUGCCUCCUUGUGGGGGACAACACCGCGAAAGCGGUGCUAAUCCCGCAUACGCUCGGCAACGAGGAAAGCCGCAAGGCGCAGGGAGAGUGGCCCGCGGCCCAUCAGGUCGUAGGUGGGGUAAUGGCCUACCUAGCCGAUGACGGGUAGCUGGUCUGUGAGGACAGACAGCCAGACUGGGACUGAGACACGGCCCAGACUCCUACGGGAGGCAGCAGCAAGGAAUUUUCGUCAAUGGGCGCAAGCCUGAACGAGCAACGCCGCGUGGAGGAUGACGGCCUUCGGGUUGUAAACUCCUUUUGGGGGGGAUGAUGAUGACAGUACCCCUUGAAUAAGGCUCGGCUAACUCUGUGCCAGCAGCCGCGGUAAUACAGAGGAGCCAAGCGUUGUCCGGAUUGACUGGGCGUAAAGCGCACGCAGGCGGUCGCGCGCGUGGGGUGUGAAAUCUGGCCGCUUAACGGCCAGGCGCCAUCCCAUACGGCACGACUGGAGGGCUGCAGAGGUCGAUGGAAUUGCCGGUGUAGUGGUGAAAUGCGUAGAGAUCGGCAGGAAACACCC